rnacentral:lncRNA from 1 species
AAGUUAUUUAAGAACCCAUCCUUAUCCUUCUUGGCGAAAAAUGACACCUGGAUCGCAAAUUUUAUCUCAUUAAUAAUCAUUGAAAUACAUCUUAAUCUCAUUAUACUAAUGUAUCGAGAGUGACGGACUUAUUAAUGAUGUAUCGAAUUAACUUGUAACAUACUCUUAAUCAUUGUAUUAAUCAUCAAAAUACCACUAUCAUCCUCAGCCUAGCAUAUCGCAUACCGUACCGUAACGACACUCAGUAUGCGUAUGCUAGUGCGGCACUGGUACGGAGUCCGGUAUCGGUACGACGAACCUUGGUCCACAUAGUAGCAACGUCAGCAGAAUCCAUCCGAACCGGCUGGUUCCGCCAGUUUCGAACCAUACUGGAGCUCACCGGUAUAGUUCCGGCUAU